rnacentral:rRNA from 1 species
CCUACGGGUGGCAGCAGUGGGGAAUAUUGCACAAUGGGGGAAACCCUGAUGCAGCGACGUCGCGUGAGUGAUGAAGUCUUUCGGUAUGUAAAGCUCUAUCAGCAGGGAAGAAAAUGACGGUGCUUGUCUAAGAAGCCACGGCUAACAACGGACCAGCAGCCGCGGGAAUACGGAGGGGGCAAGCGUUAACCGGAUUGACUGGGUGUAAAGGGAGCGUAGAUGGCGGUGCAAGCCAGAUGUGAAAGCCCGGGGCUCAACCCCGGGACUGCAUUUGGAACUGGGCUGCUAGAGUGUCGGAGAGGGAGGCAGAAUGCCUGGUGUAGCGGUGAAAUGCGUAGAUAUCAGGAGGAACACCAGUGGCGAAGGCGGCCUGCUGGACAAAGACUGACGUUGAGGCUCGAAAGCGUGGGGAGCAAACAGGAUUAGAUACCCUAGUAGUC